GAUGAAGAACGUAGCGAAAUGCGAUAAGUAAUGUGAAUUGCAGAAUUCAGUGAAUCAUCGAAUCUUUGAACGCAUCUUGCGCUCCUUGGUAUUCUGAAGAGCAUGCCUGUUUGAGUGUCAUUAAAGUUCUCAACCACACAUACUACAUAUGUGGCUUGGAUGUGGGGGUUUGCAGGCUUUCUCUGAGGGUCUGCUCCUCUGAAAUGCAUUAGUGGUAUUCCUGAGCUUUACUACAGAUGUGAUAAUUUAUCUACAUCCCAAAAGUAUGCUUCAGCAACACCGCUCCUAACAAGCGAAAGCACAUUUUGAUGAAUUUGACCUCAAAUCAGGUAGGACUACCCGCUGAACUUAAGCAUAUCAAUAAGCGGAGGA
rnacentral:misc_RNA from 1 species